UUGGCCCUGAAUCAAGGCCAUCGGUUUGCUGUAGCCGUUGGUUUCAAGCAGGAGCCCAGAGGAAUGUGUUCCUGUGGUAUGUUGGCUAAUCCAGAGCAUCAGAAGGGAAUGGCCAAUUCACUUGGAAGCAACAAGA
ensembl:snoRNA